rnacentral:rRNA from 1 species
UACGUAGGGGGCAAGCGUUGUCCGGAUUUAUUGGGCGUAAAGAGCGUGUAGGCGGCCAGACAGGUCCGUUUGUGAAAACUCGAGGCUCAACCUCGAGAUGUCGAUGGAAACCGUCUGGCUAGAGUCCGGAAGAGGAGUGUGGAAUUCCUGGGUGUAGCGGUGAAAUGCGCAGAUAUCAGGAAGAACACCUAUGGCGAAGGCAGCACUCUGGGACGGUACUGACGGCUGAGACGCGAAAGCGUGGGGAGCGAACAGGAUUAAGA